rnacentral:rRNA from 1 species
AAUGAACGUUGGCGGUAGGUUUUAGGCAUGCAAGUCGAACGAGAGUAUAAAUGAAAUUUAUUUUAUUUGUAGGUCUAGUGGCAAACGAGUGAGUAAUAUAUAAAAACUUGCCCUAUAGUUUGGGAUAAUUAUCUCAAAAGGAUAAGUAAUACCAAAUAAAUUAUUUAUAAAAAAGUUUUAAUAUUGGAAACGAUAUCAUUUCGCUAUAGGAGAGGUUUAUAUCUGAUUAGGUAGUUGGUGGUGGUAAAGGCCCACCAAGCCAAAGAUCAGUAGCUGGUCUGGGAGGAUGAUCAGCCACGCUGGAACUGAGACACGGUCCAGACUUCCAUUUGGAGGGCAGCAGCUAAGAAUAUUGGGCAAUGGGGGACACCCUGACCCAGCCAUACCGCGUGGAGGAUGACGGCCUUAAGGUUGUAAACUCCUUUUAUAAAAGAGAAUUCAAGAUAUGUAUUUUAUGAAUAAGUCCCGGCUAAUCUCGUGCCAGCCGCCGCCGUAACAC